GGCUCAGAACGAACGCUGGCGGCAUGCCUAACACAUGCAAGUCGAACGCACCGCAAGGUGAGUGGCGCACGGGUGAGUAACGCGUGGGAACCUGCCCUGGAGUGGGGGAUAACCCGGCGAAAGCCGGGCUAAUACCGCAUACGUCCUGAGGGAGAAAGAUUUAUCGCUCUAGGAGGGGCCCGCGUCGGAUUAGCUAGUUGGUGAGGUAACGGCUCACCAAGGCGACGAUCCGUAGCUGGUCUGAGAGGAUGAUCAGCCACACUGGGACUGAGACACGGCCCAGACUCCUACGGGAGGCAGCAGUGGG
rnacentral:rRNA from 1 species